rnacentral:misc_RNA from 1 species
GGCUAAAAUUAUCUUCUAGGGACCGCUCAUCAUGUUCAUUAUUACUGUUGCAUUAUUUAAGCAAUUGGGUUGGAUUCAUUAGUUAGGUUUAAGAUGGAUUCAUUGAGUGUAAACGCUUCAUGUAAGCUUGUAGUAGGUAUGUUUCUUGGUUCUAACUAAUUUGAUCCACUUCUAAUGUUGCUGCUAAGUGACCUUGUGGUG